CCUCUUUAAAAAGGCUGCUGGUGAGAAGUGGGGCUCACGGCACGAAGGCACGUGCCUGACGUUGCUGAUGCACAAUUCCAAGCACAGCCUCCUUGCCUUUUACAUCCUUUAGAGCAGCAAGGAUGCCCCAGUCUGACUGGAUGGGGUUUGUAUGUCUGUGCACUGAGAAUGACUCCUGCUCCCUCUGAAGAAAGCCUGGUGGUGAAUCUGGGUGCUGCAGACUUGAGAAGCUGCUGUCAACAAACCCAAGGAGAAAAGAAAGCCCAGGGCCCUUUGGUGAUUGGCAGAUUCAGUCACUUAAAUGCUGAGCCCAAAGCUGAAGCCUGAGCAGAGUCUGUUUCACAGAACCAUGUGAAUGCCAUCGGAAACUUUUUUCAUUUUAACUUGUUUAAAAAUAUCAGCCAUCUGAGGACAAUUCAUUUCCAGGACUUUAUAUAACAUGCAAAGUACUGUGAGGGGAUAUUUUUAAUGUAUUUGCAGUUUGCUCUAGUAUCAUAGAGCAGGGAGAAUGUCUUAGCUUGUUUUUUUCCAUUCCUGUAGCCUGUACUGUAGAUACAGAUAAUACCAUUCAAGAGGAAACAGAAGGUUGCAUUUUCAUUUGGAGUUGACAAGUGGCACAUUAUUUCCCAAUAUCUGAAUGUAAAAAGCUGUACAGAAAUAGAAAAAUUUCUGGCUGCCAUAUUUACAAAACUAAAAUCUUAUUGCUAAAUGCCUUAAAAAAAAGGUGAAAGAAAUAUCUAUAUAAAGAAAUCUUUCAGGCAGAGCUUGCUUCUGCCUGUAUUUCUGCCUUUCCGGGGGAUUUCUGCAGGUCGUCUGAAUGACCCACAAGAAUCUUUCUAGACCUUCCUCUUCUUGUCCUCUACAAAGGCUUGUCUGCCCCUAAGUAACAGAUACCCAUAAAUGCAGGGAAAGGAAGUUACUAGCAGCCACAGUACUGCAGGUAUUUUGGCUAGAACAAUUCACCAUUUCUUCCCUUACUCUGCAGCUAUUGGCUUAUGGUGAGGGUGGUUGUAAAUCACAAAACUAAGAUUGAAACAAAGCUAACAGAAUGAAAGUUAAGCACAAAAAGUCAUAACACAGUCUUAGUCCCUUUCAUAAACAUGCUGGAGGUUGUAGCACUAACGUUGGGUAAGAAGUCAGGAGUUCUGUUCACCUAGCAGGAAAGAACUGUUACCCAGUUCUCUAUAAAGUCAAGAAUUUACUGACCCAUCCUAUUUUCGUUAUAUAAACAAACUGAUUUUUCACCAGCAGCAAAUAGCUUGAGGCAAUUAAUUUUUACUUAA
rnacentral:lncRNA from 1 species